rnacentral:rRNA from 1 species
GGCUCAGAUUGAACGCUGGCGGCAGGCUUAACACAUGCAAGUCGAGCGGGGGCUUCGGCCCUAGCGGCGAACGGGUGAGGAAUGCCUGGGAAUCUGCCUGGUAGUGGGGGAUAACGAUCCGAAAGGAUCGCUAAUACCGCAUACGUCCUACGGGAGAAAGCAGGGGACCUUCGGGCCUUGCGCUAUCAGAUGAGCCCAGGUCGGAUUAGCUAAUAGGUGAGGUAAAGGCUCACCUAGGCGACGAUCCGUAGCUGGUCUGAGAGGAUGAUCAGCCACACUGGAACUGAGACACGGUCCAGACUCCUACGGGAGGCAGCAGUGGGGAAUAUUGGACAAUGGGCGAAAGCCUGAUCCAGCCAUGCCGCGUGUGUGAAGAAGGCCUUCGGGUUGUAAAGCACUUUAAGCGGGGAGGAAGUACUUGGGGCUAAUACCCCUGAGUGUUGACGUUACCCGCAGAAUAAGCACCGGCUAACUCUGUGCCAGCAGCCGCGGUAAUACAGAGGGUGCA